rnacentral:misc_RNA from 1 species
GAUUAAUCUUACAAAUCUGUACUUAUUGCUUCAGAGAACUGAGCUGUAAACAAAUAAUAUCGCUAUAGCUAUGUACCUUGUAUACACCUUUUAUUAAAUAUUGGAUGGAUGAGGUCAAUAUAGUGGUUUGUGUAGUUAAGGGUAAACGUUAGUAGAAUUAAGUAUAACAAUAGUAUCAUAGCCAAUUUUUAUGAGCACCCACUUUGAUAUAUAUCAUAGUUUUUGCAUGAACCAUUAACUGACUGUAGUAGCAGUAACACACACAUACUAGUACAUGUACUUCAAAACUAUUGGAUUAACAUAUCAUUGUUUAGAAUUACAUGUUGUUUGAGAAUCCACUUUAAAUUAUUCAUAUGAAUAUAUCUAGAAUUUGCUUGGAAAUAUCCAAACUGUGCUUGGAAUUCAUUUGGGUCAAUCAACGAUGUUUAGAGGAAUCUGCUUAGAAAUAUUCAAACCCUAACCCUGUGCUUGGGAAUCCAUUUGGAUUCAUUCAGAAAGUGCAAUGGAAUCUACAUGGAAAUACCCAGACUGUGCUUGGGGAUCCAUUUGGAUAUAUCCAGAAAUGAGAAUGUGCUAAAGAGUCCACUUGGAAAUACCAGUAUUCAAACUGUGCUUGACCUGUUCAGAAUUUGCUUAAGAACCCUAACUGUGAAGUUAUCACAACUUUUUGAAGUCACUGCCUACAUCUAGGACUGAUGUUGUGUGUUAGUUAGCAUUGUGCGAAUAAUACACUAAUGAAAUUAAUUUUGACCUGCACUGUUGUGCAUGAAUCCAGCACAAUGUGAUACAGACCGAGAUAUUUUUCUACACCUCCUCUCAUAGUAAAUCAAGUCCACCAUGUCAUCUGAGACGAUAUAGAUCGCUCUUUCAAUUUCGCCCGUUUUAAGCGAUAGUUAGAAAUUUCCCGGUUCAUUUUUCUGUGACUUGUUUCAAUGUUUCUAUUGUUAGACCAAUACCUUUGUUGUUAUUUAUUCUUUCCAUUCCUUUUGUAGGAUGUAUUCGUAUUUAAUCCCUUUUUGUUCCGCACCCUAUAAACUUGCACCCUUCUCCUCACUGUAUGUCUUCUGACUGGGUUGUGGGGGUAUUUAUAGAAAUAUUUAUAUAUACACUAGUGUCUCAAAUCAUUUGUCCUUUAUGUGUUAGACUAAUUAAGAUUGAAAAAAAAAAUGUGGAAAAAUAAAGGUUUACU